rnacentral:pre_miRNA from 1 species
GAAUUGUCAGUAUAAAUCUUUGAUCUGAUACUCUAUUAGUUAGUAUGUGAAUUUCUUUUUAACAAUUUUCUUAUUCAUGCGAGAGCUAUCAAUAAGUAUUAGAACAAAGUUUUAUACUGACAAUUCAAUCUUACCUGAUUUUCAAAA